UAUUUCAAUAUUGUUCCGUUU
rnacentral:piRNA from 1 species